rnacentral:rRNA from 1 species
UACGUAGGCAGCAAGCGUUGUUCGGAGUUACUGGGCGUAAAGGGUGUGUAGGCGGUUCUUUAAGUUUGGUGUGAAAUCUCCCGGCUCAACCGGGAGGGUGCGCCGAAGUACUGAGGGACUAGAGUGCGGGAGAGGAAAGUGGAAUUCCUGGUGAUAGCGGUGAAAUGCGUAGAUAUCAGGAGGAACACCGGUGGUGUAGACGGCUUUCUGGACCGUAACUGACGCUGAGACACGAAAGCGUGGUAGCAAACAGG